rnacentral:lncRNA from 1 species
CAGGUCCAGUGCAGAGUCCUGCAUGUGCAGCUUCUGUGCAUCAUCACCUGUGUUGGGAUGGGAUUUUUGGUGAUGCAGCUGCUUUGAGUCAUGCCUGCUCUAUACUCAUGCAUUUGCACACUUGGUCAUCAGCUGGUGGUGCCUUUCAGAAGGUUGUGGAACCUUUAGGAGGUGGAGUCUUGAUGGAGGAGGUGCGUAACUGGCAAUGGGUGGGCUUAAGGCUUUACAGUAUGGCCCCACUUCCUGUUCACGCUCUGCUUC